ACAGGUUCUCCGCUGCCGUGGCAACUAAACCCAUGACCGCCGGCUAGAGCUUCCACCAUCCACCCGUUCCACCGGUCCUAGAUAGGCCUUCCAUAUGUCCUUUGAGCUCCCAGGUUGAGAGUUCCUAUCAGAGUUUAUUGACACGUGGCUGUAAACAAGUGUCGGUCACGUUAACCAUAUAUUGCGAGGCCUGAAUUCCUUACCUUUCACCUCAGUUCCCGACUUGUACAUAUAUAUAUAGCAUAAACCUCUCUCUUCCGCUACUCCAUUUUCAUUUGGAAACCGAAACUGGAUCCUUUCUAACCCUCCUAAGCCCACAAACCCUAACCAUACUUUUCUGUGAUCUCUGUUCUGCAUUCCGAGAUUGCGAUGGAUAACGAAGAUGUUCCAAUGUUUAGAGAGACGACAACGAGGAUGAGGAGCAUCCAGCCGAAGGGGUUUCCCUCGAAACAAGCAGGGGACGAUCGAGGAAGAAAGGGAUCGUCGGAGACUACUCUGUUGAAGUCACCCAAAUCAGGUGAGAAAGUGGAGAGCUGGACGACUUUUGGAGUAAUUCAUCAUCAAAUUUUGAAGAUCAGAGAAGAAGAUUCGCACUUGGGUGAGGAUUUCGGAGAGGGAUUGAGUACGAAAGAGAAGCUCGCCGUUUUCCAUCUCGCUUCCCAAAUGGACAGUUUUAUUCUCUCAAGGCCGAUCUUGCCUUGUUCUCCUCUCAGCGGCAAGACUGCAAUUAAAACCUAAGAUGAUAUGUAGAGAUCAGAGGCGAAAGGGGAGAGAGUGAGAAGGCGGACCAAAUAAUGAUACACGUGGGCGCUGUUGAUACCUGUUGUGGGGUUAAAGUUGCUUCCCUUCUUCCUUUCCUCUCCUUCUUCUUCUUCUUCAAUGGUGAAUGGUGAGAGUCGAAAGUUUGUGUCCAGAUUGUAGUGACUGAGUCUAGCUGGAAAGUUUAGGGACUGCACAGCAGACUGGUCUGACUUGUUUUUAUUUUUUGCUCUUUUGCUGUGUCACUGUGUAUUUCAUCAUAAAAUCUUCCACCACGUGGACAGAUGGCAUGUUGCUUAACGGAUUCUUCAUUUUGGUGCAACA